CCAGCCCCAGGAGUCCCCAUUCUGUGAUCAGGACAGAACUCAGACAUCUCACCAUGGACUUUGUGCUUGGCUGGGUUUUCCUUGCUGCUGUUCUAAAAGGUGUCCAGUGUGAGGUGCAGCUGGUGGAGUCUGGGGGAGGCCUGGCGAAACCUGGGGGCUCCCUGAGACUCUCCUGUGCAGCGUCCGGAUUUGACUUCAGUAAAUAUACCAUGUACUGGGUCCGCCAGGCUCCAGAGAAGGGGCUGGAGUCGGUCUCAUAUAUUAGUACUAAUGGAGGCACAAACUAUGCAAACUCCGUGAAGGGCCGAUUCACCAUCUCCAGAGACAACGCCAAGAACACGCUCUCUCUGCAGAUGAACAGCCUGCAAGUCGAGGAUACGGCCAUGUAUUUCUGUGCGAGUGACACAGUGAGGGGAAGUCAGUUGUCUAGUCUGAGAACAUGGGAACUUGAUGACGUGACUCGAGCUGGGGGCAAGACAGUGGAGAAGUACACCUCCGCCCUCUGGCAAUUAUCAAACUGA